GUGCCAGCAGCCGCGGUAAUACAGAGGUUGCGAGCGUUGUUCGGAAUUAUUGGGCGUAAAGCGCUUGUAGGCGGCCUGUUAUGUCCCGUGUGAAAUCCCUCGGCUCAACCGAGGAAGUGCGCGGGAAACUGGCGGGCUUGAAUGCCGGAGAGGAUGACGGAAUACCCGGUGUAGAGGUGAAAUUCGUAGAUAUCGGGUGGAACACCGGUGGCGAAGGCGGUCAUCUGGACGGACAUUGACGCUGAGAAGCGAAAGCGUGGGGAGCAAACAGGAUUAGAAACCCUCGUAGUCC
rnacentral:rRNA from 1 species